CCAAAGGGUUGUCCCUAAGUUUCAGCUAGAGCUGAGACACUUGUGGGAGGCUCUAUAAGCACUUCUCUCAGUGUGUUGGUCUGUGUAUGGGUGUGCAAGGAGACAGUGGGGAAGGCAACACCUUGGUGUCAAAUAAAAACAAUCAGAGAUUUAUUAAGAAAGGUUCAAGGUGCAAAAAGUAACAAAGCUUUGGACUCAUUAACAGAGGAAGCCUACACAGGAGAAUGGAAGAAAACAGCUUGUUGAUUAUCACAAACGUCUGACUUCACGUGGACAACUGUUCUUCUGGAACACAGCUAUCUUCAAAUCAGGUCCAAACUUUUGUGCUGUACAAACCAUGGCUGAGUCUGCCUGGUGGAAACUGACCUUCUUGAGAAAGAACUCAUCUGCGUCAAAGGUCCUUUAUGAAAUUCCAGCUGAGUACGGAUGCAACACUGGCAAUAAAGAGCAGUCCAGCCUUCCUCAAAGCACAGAUAAUGCUGCCAGUCAGCUAGAUGACAACCUGGAAAAGAUUGUGGACAGAUCUUCCACCAAAAGCUGUCAUGUCAGAGUCUCUCAGUCUGGCCGUUUCAAAGAGAAAAAGAAGGUCCGAUCCACAUUGGCGGAAAAUUCCAGUAUUUUCAGUGAACACAACAGAUGAGAACUGAUGAGAACACUUCUUAAAAAGGAGAUGCUUUUCACUGAUGCUCAAUACACCCACCUACCCACACACACACACACACACACACACACACACACACACACACACACACACACACACACACACACACACACACACACACACACCUGUACACUUGUUUGUUUUUCAAAUUAGUGAAUUCAAUCAGUACAGACAUAAUGAAAGAAUAACUGAUAUAUUGUUGUACAACUUCUUUGUUCAUUUUAUUUAGUCAUAAAAUCUUCUUACUUACACCAGAUAUUCUAGAUAUAAACAUCUUUUAGUUUAUGAGGAGUCUUUUACAAUCACUAUUUAAGAGGUCUUCUGAAGAUGUACAGUAUAUAAGCAUAUGGGAGCAAAUCGUUUAGACUUGAGUUUGUACUUUGUAACAUUAACUGUUAUCUGCAUUUUAUCAUGCUGAUAAUCAUGUGUUGAUUUUAUGAUCGUUUUCGAUGUUUAAGCAAAGACAACUGAACAGCCACUUUCUGUUUUACUUCUACAUUUCUACACAAGGGAACAUAUUGUACACGUGUUCCAAUGCAACAGAUUUACUCUGGUGCUGCUGUGCCUAUAGUACCUUAAAGAGGGGUGUGUGGUAGCCUAGUGGUUAAGUUGUUGAGCUAACAAUCAGAAGGUUGUGAAUUUGAUCCCAGGUCCACCAAACUACCACUGUUGGGCCCCUGAGCAAGGCCCUUAACCCUCAACUGCUUAGUUGUAUAAUAAAAAAAUGAGAUCAUGUAAGUUGCUCUGGAUAAGGGCGUCUGCCAAAUGCUGGAAAUGUAAACGUUAAAGAAGUGACUGACAAAAUAAUUAGAUCAUCAUCAUACUAUAAUAAAUGUAAAAUAUAACAGUUGUAUCAGUUGCUAUAGCACUGCCAUCUACUGGCCUGCCAAGCAACAUAUUUCUCUUAAAUCCACAAACACACACUGGGGACAAAUUGAAGGAAAUUCCAGUGGCUGUGUAAUGCUGUGUGAGAUUUGGUUUGGGUUAUUUUGGAUUUUUUAUUUUGACAUCUCCUUUUUCCUAUGAUAAAAUAUCUCUUCCUCAUAUUUCUUCUUUCUCUUGUCUCUUCCAAAUGCUUUGAUGCACUUUUAUACAUGCUCAGAGACUUGUAUAAUUUUUUCCAUUAUUUACAUAUUGUUAUUUUACCAUAUUUAUCAUUAACAGAACACGGUAAAAUACAGCACAACAACUUCAUGGAUAAAAUUUCAUAACCUUUUUGGUUCGUUUUAUCUUGACUGACAGAAAUGUAGAACCAGUUAAGAUCGUUUACCAGGUAACAUAAUUACCAUUUUAAAUUGCAUUUCUACAGGUAUUUCAUUUAGGGAUAUCACUCAAAUAAUCUGGUCUUAAUAUGCCUUUGAAAUAUGAACAAAAUGGCAACCACUUUCAUAUAACUGGACCAUUACACUUUGCUAUUAUAUUUGUAACUAAAAUGUGAUAUAAUGAAAAGACAAUUGUACAUCGUAUGCUAACCAAAACAAUGUGAUUAUAUACAUUAAAGAAUAUCACACAA